rnacentral:rRNA from 1 species
CCUACGGGAGGCAGCAGUGGGGAAUCUUGCGCAAUGGGCGAAAGCCUGACGCAGCAACGCCGCGUGCGGGAAGAAGGCUUUCGGGCUGUAAACCGCUUUCAGCAGGAACGAAAAUGACGGUACCUGCAGAAGAAGGAGCGGCCAACUAUGUGCCAGCAGCCGCGGUGAUACAUAGGCUUCAAGCGUUGUCCGGAUUUAUUGGGCGUAAAGAGUUCGUAGGCGGUCAAGUAAGUCGGGUGUGAAAAUUCUGGGCUCAACCCAGAGACGCCACCCGAUACUGCUUAACUUGAGUUCGAUAGGGGAGUGGGGAAUUCCUAGUGUAGCGGUGAAAUGCGCAGAUAUUAGGAGGAACACCGGUGGCGAAGGCGCCACUCUGGAUCGAUACUGACGCUGAGGAACGAAAGCAUGGGUAGCAAACAGGAUUAGAUACCCUGGUAGUCCAUGCCGUAAACGGUGGGCACUAGGUGUGGGUUUCUAUUAACGAAAUCCGCGCCGUCGCUAACGCAUUAAGUGCCCCGCCUGGGGAGGUACGGUCGCAGACUAAACUACAAGAGUAGUAGACGCGNGAGAGCGACGACGACGACGACGGAGGAG